CAGGGUCCUAUAAUAAUUUCUCUUUCAGGAAAAAUGUGUAACUUCUGCAGAUAUUUAAGCUCUUUAACCAAAAAACAUGGAAGAAAGCAGCAGGCAGAACAGAGUUUGUGAGGACUGUGAUAAGUCAAAGGACUUUUGAAGAGGAAGAAAAUGUGUGAGCAACAGAACCUGGGAGGGAAUGGAGAAACUGUCACAAAACUACGACUCCAGCUUCUUCCUAGGAAUAAGAGAAGAGAAGAAAGAGGCUGACAGGUUUCAUAAGGAGAAGGAAGACAAAACAGGCUCCUGCCAAGAAGCAACAGAACAGAACUGAUGGCCACAAAAUGUACACUGUGCUCCUGGAAAAUCAUGAGACCUCCAUGAAGCUGCAGGACACCUAACCGAGCACUGCUUCAGACAAGAGCAAGCACAAGAUGGGAAUGCUGGUG